UGGGGAAUAUUGGGCAAUGGGCGAAAGCCUGACCCAGCAACGCCGCGUGAAGGAAGAAGGUCUUCGGAUUGUAAACUUCUUUUAUCAGGGACGAAGGAAGUGACGGUACCUGAUGAAUAAGCCACGGCUAACUACGUGCCAGCAGCCGCGGUAAUACGUAGGUGGCAAGCGUUGUCCGGAUUUACUGGGUGUAAAGGGCGUGCAGCCGGGCCGACAAGUCAGAUGUGAAAUCCCGAGGCUUAACCUCGGAACUGCAUUUGAAACUGUUGGUCUUGAGUAUCGGAGAGGUCAUCGGAAUUCCUUGUGUAGCGGUGAAAUGCGUAGAUAUAAGGAAGAACACCAGUGGCGAAGGCGGAUGACUGGACGACAACUGACGGUGAGGCGCGAAAGCGUGGGGAGCGAACAGGAUUAGAUACCCUGGUAGU
rnacentral:rRNA from 1 species